rnacentral:rRNA from 1 species
GAACCGUCCGAACGUUAUUCGGAAUCAUUGGGCUUAAAGGGUGCGUAGGCGGUACGGUAAGUUGGGUGUGAAAUCCCUCGGCUUAACCGAGGAACCGCGCCCAAUACUGCCGCACUCGAGGGAGACAGAGGUAGGCGGAACUGAUGGUGGAGCGGUGAAAUGCGUUGAUAUCAUCAGGAACACCAGUGGCGAAGGCGGCUUACUGGGUCUCUACUGACGCUGAGGCACGAAAGCUAGGGUAGCGAACGGGAUUAGAUACCCCGGUAGUCCUAGCUGUAAACGAUGAGCACUUGAUCGGAGACUCCCUCCAUAGGUUUCCGGUCGCAGCGAAAGUGUUAAGUGCUCCGCCUGGGGAGUAUGGUCGCAAGGCUG